rnacentral:rRNA from 1 species
UUUAUGGAGAGUUUGAUCCUGGCUCAGGAUGAACGCUGGCGGCGUGCCUAAUACAUGCAAGUCGAGCGAACAGAUAAGGAGCUUGCUCCUUUGACGUUAGCGGCGGACGGGUGAGUAACACGUGGGUAACCUACCUAUAAGACUGGAAUAACUCCGGGAAACCGGGGCUAAUGCCGGAUAACAUGUUGAACCGCAUGGUUCUACAGUGAAAGACGGUCUUGCUGUCACUUAUAGAUGGACCCGCGCCGUAUUAGCUAGUUGGUGGGGUAACGGCCUACUAAGGCGACGAUACGUAGCCGACCUGAGAGGGUGAUCGGCCACACUGGAACUGAGACACGGUCCAGACUCCUACGGGAGGCAGCAGUAGGGAAUCUUCCGCAAUGGGCGAAAGCCUGACGGAGCAACGCCGCGUGAGUGAUGAAGGUCUUCGGAUCGUAAAGCUCUGUUGUUAGGGAAGAACAAAUGUGUAAGUAACUGUGCACAUCUUGACGGUACCUAACCAGAAAGCCACGGCUAACUACGUGCCAGCAGCCGCGGUAAUACGUAGGUGGCAAGCGUUAUCCGGAAUUAUUGGGCGUAAAGCGCGCGUAGGCGGUUUUUUAAGUCUGAUGUGAAAGCCCACGGCUCAACCGUGGAGGGUCAUUGGAAACUGGAAAACUUGAGUGCAGAAGAGGAAAGUGGAAUUCCAUGUGUAGCGGUGAAAUGCGCAGAGAUAUGGAGGAACACCAGUGGCGAAGGCGGCUUUCUGGUCUGCAGCUAACGCAUUAAGCACUCCGCCUGGGGAGUACGGUCGCAAGACUGAAACUCAAAGGAAUUGACGGGGACCCGCACAAGCGGUGGAGCAUGUGGUUUAAUUCGAAGCAACGCGAAGAACCUUACCAAAUCUUGACAUCCUUUGACCGCUCUAGAGAUAGAGUUUUCCUCUUCGGAGGACAAAGUGACAGGUGGUGCAUGGUUGUCGUCAGCUCGUGUCGUGAGAUGUUGGGUUAAGUCCCGCAACGAGCGCAACCCUUGAACUUAGUUGCCAUCAUUCAGUUGGGCACUCUAAGUUGACUGCCGGUGACAAACCGGAGGAAGGUGGGGAUGACGUCAAAUCAUCAUGCCCCUUAUGAUUUGGGCUACACACGUGCUACAAUGGACAAUACAAAGGGCAGCGAAACCGCGAGGUCAAGCAAAUCCCAUAAAGUUGUUCUCAGUUCGGAUUGUAGUCUGCAACUCGACUACAUGAAGCUGGAAUCGCUAGUAAUCGUAGAUCAGCAUGCUACGGUGAAUACGUUCCCGGGUCUUGUACACACCGCCCGUCACACCACGAGAGUUUGUAACACCCGAAGCCGGUGGAGUAACCAUUUUGGAGCUAGCCGUCGAAGGUGGGACAAAUGAUUGGGGUGAAGUCGUAACAAGGUAGCCGUAUCGGAAGGUGCGGCUGGAUCACCUCCUUU